UUAAACUAAAGUAUAAUAUUUUUAAUUAACAAAAAUAACUAAAAAUUAAAUUUUAAUAAUUUUUUAAUUAAUAAAAAAUCAUUAUUAUUUUUUCUUAACUUAUAACCCAAACCCGACCCAAACACGACCCGACCCAACCCGUUAUCUUCGUGUUCAUAUUGGGACCCAAAUCAUGAAACGUGCCGGGUCCAUGUCGUAUAAAAAUUGCCAGUCCUAGUCAAUAGAUACCCCUUGCUUGAUAACGAAAAAGAAUCACUGUGAUUUUAAUCACAAAAAUUAAAAUCCGAUGGAAGAAUAGUCGUUUUCAAGUCAACCAAACUUAGUAAUUUUUAAUUAUAUUUUCAAGGAAGUUUCAUUUUUUGGUUUUAGAUGGUUAAUAGUUCGCCUGUUUUAUCAUCAUAUAUUGCUCGUCAUAGAAAAUAACAAUAUUAUAAACGACUCACGUUGUUAUGUUUGAAGUUUAAAUCAUAACUGUGGCGCAUUACUCAGAAAAUAUCAUGAAUUAUAGGCAAAAUCAGAUAUUUCCAUAACUUUUAAUUCUGGUCUUAAAAAUUACUACAAUCAUCAGAGAAUCAAACUUGAGUCAGCAUUACGCCGGGUUUUCAUUGUGUGCCAGAAUGUAGGAUAGCGCCUGCCGAAGUUGCCUAGUAGUCCCUUCUGUGCCCCAUGACGUGUCAAGAAAAAAGGUCGAGGAGGAGCCAAUGGUUUGUUACGGAUAUGCCUGAACCUCUCGCCCAACAUUCCGCCGAGAUCACCACGGAAAAUCCUGAGAGCAAUCAAGUGGUAUGUUGAGUUUGUGUGUCGAAUGAGAUCAACCCUAAUUCGAGCCAAAACUUGUCUUUUCAAGCUGGAAUUGUUACCUAAUUAGAGAACGAGAAUUGUAUAAAAUAAACGUUUCUCUAAUGUUGAAGAUUGAUGCAAGAAGAGAUAAACAAAAAUGAUGAAAUAUGGAAUCUUUCCACUGGUUUAUUGGUUGAUUAAAUUGGUCAUACUUUUGUCUGUA